UGUUUAAGACAUAUAUGUGGA
ensembl:piRNA 21ur-7847 ncRNA